AUGUCCAGUGCCCAAAUCCCUGAGUGCCACAGACAGAGAGAAAAGGAAGAACAUUACAUAGUGGAUUGCUUAAGCCAUUAUACAGGGAGAAUUUGCUUGGACACAGCUUGCAAAACGCAUGUGCAGAUAUUAGACAGGACAUACGUGAUCAGCCUCUCUGAUGGGAACACCCCUCCCAAAGCCCUGAGGAAGAGGAGUUUGGUACAUGUCAGACAAAUGACCAAACCUCAGCUUUGCUUCUGCUUCACAGUACCAAACUGUCCACGGAUUGGACAGAAUUUCAUCCCUCCCUCUGAAGCAGAACAUGCUGCUCCCCUAGAGCAGCUUGUCCGCUUCACGUGGCUUCUGCUCUGCCCAGAAUACUAACAGGGGGAAAAACCAAAGCCAGAAGAGCCUCUUGCCCUCUGCCAAGCAAACCUCAAGCGCUGCCCACAGCACAGAGAUGGCAGUCAGAAGGGGAGUUGGGAGCUGGCCGCACAGUGGUGGCAUCACUGGAGAGGGGAGGCACCAGCUGGGCACUGAGAGAGGCUCAAUAAAAACGUCAGACCUUUUAUAACAUAAUUGCGUGCUUUAUUGAUAUACACAGUAAAGCAGUAUAUAGUACAAUAGUAAGGCAUAUAUUUGGUGAAAUCUGAUAUGUUGUGAAAAAUGCAGUAAAACAGAAGUUUAUAAAAAUAAUUAGUAAAUGUUACAGUGUUGGUGUUAAAACACAAUAUAUUAUGAUAUCCAAGUAAUAAACCAGUACUGAGUAACAAUGAAAUAACAUGCCAUAUGGUAUUUAUGUAUUCAAUUACACUGAUUAUGUUUUACAGUUUAAUACUUUGUCGUUAUAAGGAAUAUGAAACAAUUCCCAAAUUAUGCUUCAAAAAGCAGUGAUAAAGCUUUCAACUUUUUAAAUAUUUUUGACAGACUCACUCCAAAACUAAGACCUAGAAAGUAAAACAAACAAAACAAAACCCUGAUGAAAACAACCGUGCAAUCCAUUUUCCUCCUUUUGUUUUCUCAAGAGAAGGUUUAAAGGGGAGUAUAAGGGGGAAAAAUGAGAAGAAACCCAUCUCUUUCCCAGAUCUCAGACCAAACCUUCUGGUAAAGAAGACCACGAGAAUUACAUGGGGUUCCUACUGCAGUAAAGUGUUAAAUAAAGCUCUUUAUUACGAAAGCAGAGGUUUGGGGGGAUUGUACUUAUUCUUUGUGAAUUAUUAGCAUUCUUACUUAAAUGAUGAGACCCGUUCACACAAUGGACAAGUGGUGAUGAUGUAACAUAUCUGUACGUAAUUGUCAGGAACACCACAAAACCAAAGUGAGGUAGAAAUAGCAUGACUAGCCAUGUUCAAUGUUAACUAGCAUUCAAAAUAAAAUCUUUCCCAAGUUUAAUUACACUUCAUACAAGAAGAGGUAACAGAUUUUUACUUUGCAAUAUAAAGUCAGACGGUGUGUUUCUAUGUAUCUAAGAGAAAAUUAAAAGCUGGUUAAGAUAAUGAAGUGGUAAAGCUUUUGCUGACAGCACCUCAUACCCAAACCUACCUCUCAAGAGCUGCAGUUAUGCUGGCUAAUCUGUUUUUCUAUCAGUUCCUCUCUUUCUCACUCUAUUGUUAAUUGUGCGGUAUUACUUGUAGAGAGAAACGGGGAAGGAGAAAGCAUCAGGGCCUUUGUUUUGAAGAUAAAUAUCUCAGGGAGCAGUGUGGCUACCUUCACCUGAUCACCAUACACAUACAAGAACAGCAGUAAUUCUUCUACAGCCUUCCUCAAAGGUUGCUUGCUGCAUUACAGCUCCUUGGGACCAGCUGCUCUAGCAGGCUGAGACAGACAUUGCAGAAAAGUCUGGUUUUAUUUUCCAGAGGGUCAAGUAGCUCUACGUUCGUUAACAGUGUUGGAAGCCAAUACAAGCAAAGGUGCUCUGUGAGUAACCCACUUGUGCUUCAUGUCAGAAGCUGAUCCCACGUGGGGUCAGGAGGGAAGUUCUCCCUUUCUUCUCUCGUGUGCAGCGAGGUGAUGCUAACAGUGGCAGCGGGCAGGGAAAGCCAUACGCAGCUUCUGCCAAAGCUCUGGAUGCUGGCUGCAGCCAGCAGAGUACCGGACAGUAAGGUCCAAAGGUUUCAUCCGGUAAGGCAAUUCUACGUUCCUCCACUAAGGACAUUCAGGGAUUUAGUCAGCAGAGGAAUUGCUGGCGUAUUGGACAUCAUUAAAUUCUUUCCUUCUUUCUUCUUUUUUUUUCCUUUUUCUUUUUUUUUCUUUUCAUUAAUUUUUUGCAGGCUCUGUCAUGUCAUGUGCUCUUUCAUUUAAUUAUUGCCAACUAGUGUGAUUCAUGUAAUUAUUAAUUUUAUUGGAAAGAAGUGAAA
rnacentral:lncRNA from 1 species